UGGUGGAGUGAUUUGUCUGGUUUAUUCCGUUAACGAACGAGACCUCGACCUGCUAAAUAGUAUGGGGUACUCCGGUACCUACAUGCUUCUUAGAGGGACUGACGGUGGUGAGCCGUAGGAAGUUCGAGGCAAUAACA
rnacentral:rRNA from 1 species